GAUGAACGCUGACAGAAUGCUUAACACAUGCAAGUCUACUUGAACUUCGGUUUGGGUGGCGGACGGGUGAGUAACGCGUAAAGAACUUGCCUCACAGUUAGGGACAACAUUUGGAAACGAAUGCUAAUACCUGAUAUUAUGAUUUUAGGGCAUCCUAAGAUUAUGAAAGCUAUAUGCGCUGUGAGAGAGCUUUGCGUCCCAUUAGCUAGUUGGAGAGGUAACGGCUCACCAAGGCGAUGAUGGGUAGCCGGCCUGAGAGGGUGAGCGGCCACAAGGGGACUGAGACACGGCCCUUACUCCUACGGGAGGCAGCAGUGGGGAAUAUUGGACAAUGGACCAAAAGUCUGAUCCAGCAAUUCUGUGUGCACGAUGACGUUUUUCGGAAUGUAAAGUGCUUUCAGUUGGGAAGAAAAAAUGACGGUACCAACAGAAGAAGUGACGGCUAAAUACGUGCCAGCAGCCGCGGUAAUACGUAUGUCACAAGCGUUAUCCGGAUUUAUUGGGCGUGAAGCGCGUCUAGGUGGUUAUGUAAGUCUGAUGUGAAAAUGCAUGGCUCAACUCUGUAUUGCGUUGGAAACUGCAUGACUAGAGUACUGGAGAGGUAAGCGGAACUACAAGUGUAGAGGUGAAAUUCGUAGAUAUUUGUAGGAAUGCCGAUGGGGAAGCCAGCUUACUGGACAGAUACUGACGCUGAAGCGCGAAAAGCGUGUGUAGCAAACAGG
rnacentral:rRNA from 1 species